rnacentral:rRNA from 1 species
GGUCCGGAAUAACCCCGGGAAACUGGGGAUAAUACCGCAUAACGCAUAUAUGCUGAAAUGCUUUAUGCGUAAAAUGGAUUUGUCUGCCCAAAGAUGGGUCUGGGCCCUAUCAGGUAGUAGUGGGUGUAAUGUACCUACUAGCCUACACGGGUACGGGUUGUGAGAGCAAGAGCCCGAAGAUGGAUUCUGAGACAUGAAUCCAGGCCUUACGGGGCGCAGCAGGCGCGAAAACUUUCCAAUGCGGGUACCCGUGAUAAGGGGACACCGAGUGCUAGCAUCAUAUGCUGGCUGUCCAGGUGUGUAAAAUACACCUGUUAGCAAGGGCCGGGCAAGACCGGUGCCAGCCGCCGCGGUAACACCGGCGGCCCGAGUGGUGAUCGUGAUUAUUGGGUCUAAAGGGUCCGUAGCCGGUUUGGUCAGUCCUCCGGGAAAUCUGAUAGCUCAACUAUUAGGCUUUCGGGGGAUACUGCCAGACUUGGAACCGGGAGAGGUAAGAGGUACUACAGGGGUAGGAGUGAAAUCUUGUAAUCCCUGUGGGACCACCUGUGGCGAAGGCGUCUUACCAGAACGGGUUCGACGGUGAGGGACGAAAGCUGGGGGCACGAACCGGAUUAGAUACCCGGGUAGUCCCAGCCGUAAACGAUGCUCGCUAGGUGUCAGGCAUGGCGCGACCGUGUCUGGUGCCGCAGGGAAGCCGUGAAGCGAGCCACCUGGGAAGUACGGCCGCAAGGCUGAAACUUAA